rnacentral:rRNA from 1 species
GAUGAACGCUGGCGGCGUGCCUAAUACAUGCAAGUCGAGCGAACGGACGAGAAGCUUGCUUCUCUGAUGUUAGCGGCGGACGGGUGAGUAACACGUGGAUAACCUACCUAUAAGACUGGGAUAACUUCGGGAAACCGGAGCUAAUACCGGAUAAUAUUUUGAACCGCAUGAUUCAAAAGUGAAAGACGGUCUUGCUGUCACUUAUAGAUGGAUCCGCGCUGCAUUAGCUAGUUGGAAGGUAACGGCUUACCAAGGAAACGAUGCAUAGCCGACCUGAGAGGGUGAUCGGCCACACUGGAACUGAGACACGGUCCAGACUCCUACGGGAGGCAGCAGUAGGGAAUCUUCCGCAAUGGGCGAAAGCCUGACGGAGCAACGCCGCGUGAGUGAUGAAGGUCUUCGGAUCGUAAAACUCUGUUAUUAGGGAAGAACAUAUGUGUAAGUAACUGUGCACAUCUUGACGGUACCUAAUCAGAAAGCCACGGCUAACUACGUG